AAUAGUACAGAUUCAAGGCUAUAGCCUAUAUAUAUAUAUGUUGUGUUUGUUUGGAAUAUCCUGAUGUGUUUAAUGCAGAUUCUUAAAGUAGUGUAUUCAAAGCAACGUAUGCAUCUCAUCCAUGGUACAUAUUUGGAUUAAGCACGAUAAAGAAGGCCUGCAACAGAAAUGAAACAGUAAUUUUAACAAAGAAUGAGUAACAACUGCUGAUGGACUCAACUCGCUGUUUUCCCCAAGAACUGUUGAUGACUGAGGAGACUCAACAAUGGGCCCUAAAGUUCCACUAAAUGAGAAGAGACGAGCAAACAAUAGUUUCCUGCAAGAGGGAGCAGGCCAGACGAGAAUGAGGGGAAUCUGCACUCCACCUGACGGGGACUGUCUCCCCCAUGCUGCGCCCCAGCACCAGGCACAGAGUCAUCUGCAGACAGUUGCCUCUCCAUGUGCAGGAGGCCGGGGUCUCUUUCCUGCCACCCAGGUGGGUGCUCCAGAGGGACACGUUUCCAUUCAGUACAGGUGGCUGACACUACUUGUGCUGGAUGAGGGCUGGCUGAGGAUGAGGGAGCACCCCCUCAGUCUGUGCCCACCAGGAAGUGUACAGAAGGAUGUCCCUGGCAUCCGCAAGACUACUGGGCAGACCACACUGCAGAAAUGAAAACUAGUGUACACGAUUUAAAUUGCCUUAAACAAACAAGCAAGCAAACAAUCCAGCCAUUGGUGACUCUGGGGGGGGUCUAGAGUGCAGCCCUGGGAAACGUGUACCCUUGUUAACACGGGUGGACAUGGCAUGCUCUGAUCUCCUUCUUGUCUUUGCAGCUGGUAAACUGGGAGCUUUUGAACCUUUUCUUUACAGUCAUGUAGCGUUCCUGGAUCCCGCCUCCACACAGUUUGGUGCAUUCUGACCAGGCUGUCCAUGGGCGCAUCCUGCAGCCUGAAAGCAUGAGAAGACCUGGUUAGGCCAGCAGACACGAGGGAAAGAACAAGGAAGCUGAACUCUAGUAAACAGCUGUCAAACUUAGUUAGUUGUCUGGGCUUUUCUGCUCUUGUAUGUAACGAUUUGUUGAAUUAAAUAAUGGCUAGAGUCCUUAUUAGGGACUGUUAGCUUAUAUGUGACAGACUGCAAAAAUUGGCCAUAAAUACUUUGCAGCUCUUCCCCAUCAAGGGGCAGAGUCUGCUUCUCCACCUCUUGAAUCUGGGCUUGGCUCUCUGACUUGCUUUUGGCCAAUGGGACAUGAGCAAGCAUGGCUUGAAAAAAGUUGUCGGGAACCUUUCCACCACUAUGUAAGCAAGCCUGGCUAUCUGCUGGAGAGACCACGUGGAGAGAGGCUCCAGAAACACAGGGAAUCCAAAGACCAUCAAUUGGCCUGGACCCGAGACUGACCGUGGAUCUUCCCAACUACCAUUUCAUCAUUUUGCUGAUGAUAUUGCACUCUUGGCUUGGAUCAGCUUAUUCAGCAGUGAAGCUCUAGUGGGCAGCGUGCACACAGAGCCGUCCUCCGGGAACUGCUUCACGUACCUCUCCCGGGACCGCAUGCCAGUGCCGCAGGAGAUGCUGCAGGGCGACCAGGUGAUCCACUCGGACAUGGUGCAGGUGGAGCCGUCUGCAACAUAGGAGCAGAUACUGCAGACCGGGCGCCACGACGCCGGGAUCCACACGACCAACCGAACUCCCCAAAGGCGGGCAUCAAGAAGGCCAGCUGGCAUUCAGGGGCAGUUAGGCAAUUGAGGAUGGAAGUCAACAUAAAAGGCACACAUCUUUAAACUAGGAAUUGUUCUUUAAAGGAAAUGCUUUUUUCCAGGUGCACGGAGCACUCGGGAUUACUCGUCUCAUGACAACACAUUUGAAAGAUGCUUGGAUGGAUAGGAGUGUGUGUGUAUGUGUGUUUGCCUGUUUAGUUCUAGAGAAGAAGAGGGAAAUGAAGUCAUCCAUCCACCCAGCCAUUUACUCAUGUCAGUAAAUCUUUACUGACUGCUUAGUGGUAUGUACUGAGGUUAAAAAGAUGUGUAAGAUAUGGAUUUUGUUCUACUCCAGAACGAGAGAUGGGCACAUAAACUGCAAUAAUUCUAUGUAUUGAAAAUAUGACAACAGACAUAAGCCCAGGAGACUGGAAUGGGGAUGGUCCUUGGAGUUGUGGGUGAGAUUUCACAGAAGAGGGCACAUCUGAGUGCACUUUUGUCGGGUAGAGAAUAUCUGUAUUUAAGGUGAAGGGAACAGCUCUUGAACAACCUGUACAGAGUGUAUUGUGUGCGGCACUGGGAGAUGAGGCUAGAAAGAAGGACUGAAGUCAGAGUGUGAAGCCUCCUGCACGUGUCCGCAGGCUGUCAUGUGCACGUGGGUGAUGCCUACACAUUGUUAUUGAACCUAUGGACAGGGUUGCCAGACAGUGCUUGCUGGCGGUGCAGUAAUAAAGAUGGCUGGAACCCACAUUAGACCCAGGGAAAUUCUGACACGUCCUACAGCGUGGAUGAACCUGAGGACAUUAUGCUGAGUGAAAUAAGCCAGUCACAAAAAGACAAAUACUGUAUGAUUCCACUUAUAUGAGAUACCUAGAAUGGUCAAUUCUUAGAAAGUAGAAUGGUGGUUGCCAGGGGUUGGGGGAAUGGAAAGUUAGUGGUUAAUGGGUCUAGAGUUUGUUUUGCGAGAUGAAGAGUUCUGGAGAUAGAGGGUGGUGAUGAUUGCCUAACUGUGUGUGUGUGUGUGUGUGUACACACUUAAUAUCACUGAACUGUACAAUUAAAAAUAGUUAAGUUGGUAAA